UCUGUUGCUCCUCUGUAAAAUCUGUCAAGAAGUCUUCCUCUGGAGAAACAAACAGUGACCAUCAGGACACUGCAGAUGUAUCAGCCAAAUGUGUAAAUUACAGGUGACACUUCAGGCUCCCUACAAGCUCUGGGGCUGUGCUACUAAUUUUGAAGGCUGCACACCUGAACAAUUGACUCCAUGGACUCACCUUUCUCUGCCGGUCAGCUGUUAGGCCAGCAACGCUAACUUUCAAACUGAUGUACUCAAUAAUCUGAUGUGUCCAUCACUGCUCUGUUGGUCUUCCCUUCACCACAACCUCGAGGUUAUUCACCGCCUGGCUCCUUUGUCACUCUCCUCUGCUGCUGUGGUCUCCCCCGGCUCACGGCGAUGUUGGAUGGUCACUGCUCUGCCGUUGCUGUGUGCACGGGGCCUCCGGACGCCAGUUAGUUCAUAAUUCUUGGAAGCUGAGAGCCUAAGGUGGAGGUGUUGGUGUCUCCCGGUGGUGGUGGUGUCCCCUUCCUGUAUGCUGUGUUGUCGACCCCUGGUGUGAUCCUCCACAUGUGUGCACGUGUGAUUGUGGUGACUCUCUCCUGGAUACCUCACUCCCGGUGAUCCACCUCUCCACUGAUGCUGUGGAUGAAGUAAUCUGACGACAUGCCACGCCGCCGCUGAUGUGCGUGCGAAACACCUGAGGUGACUGACUCAUAUAGAGGCACUGUGCGCUGUGACAUGUACGAUUCUCCGGAGAGAGAGAAAGGGGGGCGCUUAAUGCCUCUGUUCAUGAUGAAGCAGCGAAUUAUGGAGACAGGGUGUGUCAUCUCAUUCUCUGCUCCUUUCAUCAUAAUCUCCCCCACCACGUUCAGAGGAAAACUCACUAGAGGCCAUCAGCCCCCUGAACCACAGCCGGGAACAUCACACAGAGAUCUACCUAUGGCCCAUUUCACCGUAUUCGCGCUCCUGCCACACUGACAGCUCAUGGAUUAAGAGCCAACAUCUUGAAGUUGGAGGAGUGUUAAGAGAGUCAAAUGUACAGUAAAAGAAGCGCCUCUGUGUGUGUACACGUGUGUGUGUGUGUGUGUUUUUGAGAGUGUCAGGUGCCGUGCAGCUGUUUCUGUUUUGUGCGUCGAUCGACGACCGACUGAAGUUUCAUGCAG